UUGACCAAGGUUGACAACUGGUGGCACGUGAGUCACCCAUGGUGAAUACUGUGUGCUGGAAACUUUGAGACCCAA
rnacentral:snoRNA from 1 species